GACAGAGGGUGCAAACGUUGUUCGGAAUUAUUGGGCGUAAAGCGCGUGUAGGCGGUGAUGCAUGUCGGGUGUGAAAGCCCCCAGCUCAACUGGGGAAGUGCGCCCGAAACUGCAUCGCUAGAGUGUCGGAGAGGGUGGCGGAAUUCCCGGUGUAGAGGUGAAAUUCGUAGAUAUCGGGAGGAACACCAGUGGCGAAGGCGGCUCACUGGGUCUCUUCUGACGCUGAGGAACGAAAGCUAGGGGAGCAAACGGG
rnacentral:rRNA from 1 species